AGUGAACGCUGGCGGCGUGCCUAAUACAUGCAAGUCGAACGGAGUGGCGCACGCGCGAGUAAUAUAUAGCUAAUCUGCCCCUUGCUGGAGGACAACAGUCAGAAAUGACUGCUAAUACCCCACAGCAAGGGAUGAGACUAUAUCGUAUCAGCUAGUCGGUGGGGGAACGGCCUACCGAGGCUAUGACGCGUACCUUGUCUGAGAGGAUGAUCAGUCACAUUGGACCUGGGACACCGUCGAGAAUCCUACGGGAAGCAGCAGUAGAGAAUAUUGCGGAAUGGAGGAAACCCUGACGCAGCGACGCCUCGAGGAGGAUGACACUUUUCGGAACGUGAACUCCUUUUGUUAGGAAAACGGUACCUGAAAAAUAAGCACCGGCUGACUCCGUGCCAGCAGCCGCGGUAAUUC
rnacentral:rRNA from 1 species